rnacentral:rRNA from 1 species
AAGUCGUAACAAGGUUUCCGUAGGUGAACCUGCGGAAGGAUCAUUACAAAUCUUUGUGGAUAGCUUGGUGUGCAUUUAUUGUAUGCCAAGUUUGAAACACAUAUGCACAAGGCACGCGUAAAGCCCCUCUAGGUGUUUUAUGUGUUGCUUUGAUGUUCACGCUUGUUUGUUUGACAGAGUUAUGGUAACAUUUUAAAUAAAGACAACUUUUAACAACGGAUCUCUUGGCUCUUGCAACGAUGAAGAACGCAGUAAAGUGCGAUAUGUAGUGCGAUUUGCAUGAAUCUGUGAGUCAUCUAAUCCUUGAACGCAACUUGCGCCUCUUUUGAGGCAUGUUUGUUUGAGUGCCGCAUACCUUUAUGCAGCAAUGCGAUUUGAUUCAUGUCUCUGGACUGAAUCUAAAUAUAGCCAGAUGGUGGUCAGUGUGACUAGCCCGAGUGCUAAGCAUUCUUGGAACUAGUUGUACAGCCAUUAAUUAUCUUUUUAUAUUUGGCCUCAAAUCAAGCAAGACUACCCGCUGAACUUAAGCAUAUCAGUAAGCGGAGGAAAAGAAACUAACGAGGAUUCCCCUAGUAACGGCGAGUGAAGCGGGAAAAGCUCAAAUUUAAAAUCUCAGUGUUCUUGCACUGCGAAUUGUAGUCUAAAGAAUGGUGAUCUAGGGUUGGUCAAGUGCUCAAGUCCCUUGGAAAAGGGCGCCAGAGAGGGUGAGAGCCCCGUAACAGCAUUUGUCCUUCCUCAAGUGAGAUCCUUUCUACGAGUCGAGUUGCUUGGGAAUGCAGCUCAAAGUGGGUGGUAAAUCUCAUCUAAGGCUAAAUAUUGGCAAGAGACCGAUAGCGAACAAGUACCGUGAGGGAAAGAUGAAAAGCACCUUGAAAAGGGAGUUAAAUAGUGCGUGAAAUUGUUAAAAGGGAAACGAUAGAGAUUAGUGUUGGUAUGUGCUUCAAUUAGAUGCUUCGGUGUCUAAAGCGAGCAUGCAUCGAGUCAAUGCCAGUUGUGGCUGUCGGAUACGAUUCAGAGAAAGGUGGGGUCAAACUUUGUUAGGCUCUUUAUAGUCUCUGUCUUCUGCGACCGCUGCGACUGGAAGCCUAGGACCGCUAGCUGACUAAUGGGGAAUGGUAGGUAGACAACUUGUUGACUAUCUGCUCUCACUCUUUACGAAGCAAAGCCUACUUGGGCGCCUUUGACGAAAUAGUCUUUGACGACC